AGAGUUUGAUCAUGGCUCAGGAUAAACGCUGGCGGCGUGCCUAAUACAUGCAAGUCGAACGAGGGGUUCUUGUAGCAAUACGAGGACUUCCUAGUGGCGAAUGGGUGAGUAACGCGUUGGCGACCUGCCCCAAAGAGAGGAAUAACUCCGGGAAACUGGAGCUAAUACCUCAUGUGGUUGCGAGAGUUAAAGGUCUCGCAUCUAAAGGAGAAAUCCGCUUUGGGAGGGGCCUGCGUCCCAUCAGCUAGUUGGUAGGGUAAUGGCCUACCAAGGCUUCGACGGGUAGGGGGCCUGAGAGGGUGGCCCCCCACACUGGCACUGAAACACGGGCCAGACACCUACGGGUGGCAGCAGUAGGGAAUAUUGCACAAUGGGCGAAAGCCUGAUGCAGCAACGCCGCGUGCGCGAUGAAGACCUUCGGGUUGUAAAGCGCUUUUCUGAAGGAAGAGGAAGGACUGUACCUCAGGAAUAAGGAUUGGCUAACUACGUGCCAGCAGCCGCGGUAAUACGUAGGAUCCGAGCGUUAUCCGAAUUUACUGGGCGUAAAGCGCGUGCAGGCGGUCUGAUAAGUUGGAUGUGAAAGCUCCCGGCUCAACUGGGAGAGGCCGUUCAAAACUAUCAGACUAGAGGGCGGUAGAGGGAGGUGGAAUUCCCGGUGUAGUAGUGAAAUGCGUAGAUAUCGGGAGGAACACCAGUGGCGAAAGCGGCCUCCUGGACCGUUCCUGACGCUCAGACGCGAAAGCUAGGGGAGCGAACGGGAUUAGAAACCCCGGUAGUCCUAGCAGUAAACGAUGCGAACUUGGUGUCGGUGGGGUAAAAUCCGCCGGUGCCGGAGCUAACGCGUUAAGUUCGCCGCCUGGGGACUACGGCCGCAAGGUUAAAACUCAAAGGAAUUGACGG
rnacentral:rRNA from 1 species